rnacentral:rRNA from 1 species
UACGUAGGGUGCAAGCGUUUAAUCGGAAUUACUGGGCGUAAAGCGUGCGCAGGCGGCUAUGCAAGACAGAUGUGAAAUCCCCCGGGCUUAACCUGGGAACUGCAUUUGUGACUGCAUGGCUAGAGUACGGUAGAGGGGGAUGGAAUUCCGCGUGUAGCAGUUGAAAUGCGUAGAUAUGCGGAGGAACACCGAUGGCGAAGGCAAUCCCCCUGGACCUGUACUGACGCUCAUGCACGAAAGCGUGGGGAGCAAACAGG